CUCACCUGCACGUGUGAUUCCGGCAGCAGCAGCUGUGGGAUCGCUGUCGCUGCUGUGUGAUCUGCCGGCCACGGGGGUGGAACUCUCCUUUGCAGAGGAGCAGCUACAUUAGCCAGCGUGACCUUGAGUCAGCACCAGAGACACUCUUGUCAGGAAGCUUGAGCUCUGAGUAGCAGAUAAGCGCACGAGCUUUGGUCAUAGCCAAAAAUGAAGAUGACGUCCCAGCUCUGCUGCUUCUUCCUGCUUUGACUUGGAGAAGCCACUUGACCUCUGAACCCCGAAGUCCUCCGUAAAAUGGGAAGAAAACCAUCCCUGUCUCUCAAGGUGAUUGUAAAGAUGGAGGUUCAUGGAAGAGCAGACCAGAAUGUAAACCUUCUGUGGGCAGCUCACUCCAAAAAGGAAGGGAUUAAGAAGGGCUGCUCCCUGAGUCUGUACUCACCAGGCCUACCUGGGGUGUGGGUGGAGCUCAUGGGCAAUGAAUGAGGAGCUUAUGGAGAGAAUCAGCUCGAAUUUUCCAAAACCAAGAGUCUGUGAGUGAGUCUGUGAAUAAAGCACUGGAUUGCUGUACAAAACCACAGGUGGUAGGUGUGACAGAUCAUGUGACUCUGGAUGCAGUGAAAUAGAAUAGGAAGUUCCCCUUGGAGGACUCUCAGGAGUAGGAGACA